rnacentral:rRNA from 1 species
UACGUAGGGUGCAAGCGUUAAUCGGAAUUACUGGGCGUAAAGCGUGCGCAGGCGGUUUUGUAAGUCUGACGUGAAAUCCCCGGGCUCAACCUGGGAAUUGCGUUGGAGACUGCAAGGCUAGAAUCUGGCAGAGGGGGGUAGAAUUCCACGUGUAGCAGUGAAAUGCGUAGAGAUGUGGAGGAACACCGAUGGCGAAGGCAGCCCCCUGGGUCAAGAUUGACGCUCAUGCACGAAAGCGUGGGGAGCAGACAGG